rnacentral:SRP_RNA from 1 species
CCGUGCUAGAUGGGGAGGUAGCGGUGCCUUGUUACCCACAAUCCGCUAUAGUGGGGUCGAAUUCCUGCCGGAGGGUUUAUUCCUGUGGGGUCUGCCUUAAACAAGUGGCUAUGAGAGCCGGGUCCUACGCAACAAGAAGUUAUGAACCCCGUCAGGUCCGGAAGGAAGCAGCGGUAAGUAACCACUCUUGUGUGCCGCAGGGCAACCUAGCUUGAGUUAACUGUUUGAGUAACGCUUGGAGGAGUAGUUCGAAGGUAGGUGCACGG